rnacentral:rRNA from 1 species
CGUAGGGGGCAAGCGUUGUCCGGAAUCAUUGGGCGUAAAGCGCGUGUAGGCGGUCCGGUAAGUCCGCUGUGAAAGUCGGGGGCUCAACCCUCGGAUGCCGGUGGAUACUGUCGGGCUUGAGUACGGAAGAGGCGAGUGGAAUUCCUGGUGUAGCGGUGAAAUGCGCAGAUAUCAGGAGGAACACCAAUUGCGAAGGCAGCUCGCUGGGACGUUACUGACGCUGAGACGCGAAAGCGUGGGGAGCAAACAGG